GCCUCGAUGGCGGAAUUGGUAGACGCAGCGGAUUCAAAAUCCGCCGCUGGUAACAGUGUGAGAGUUCGAGUCUCUCUCGAGGCACCA
rnacentral:tRNA from 4 species